CCCUUAGAUGUUCUGGGCUGCACGCGUGCUACAAUGGCGCUUGCAACAAGUCUUGCCAACCCGAUAGGGUGAGCGGAUCUUUGAAGAGGCGUCGUGAUCGGGACAGUUGAAUGCAAUUAUUCGACUCGAACGAGGAAUUCCUUGUAAUCGCGAUUCAUCAUAUCGCGCUGAAUACGUCCCUGCCCUUUGUACACACCGCCCGUCGCUCCUACCGAUUGAGCGAUCCGGUGAAUGUUUUGGACUGGCGUCAGAAGCGGUUCGCUCCUGACACUACGAAAUUUUGUAAACCUUAUCGCUUAGAGGAAGGAAAAGUCGUAACA
rnacentral:rRNA from 1 species